GGGGGGGAGCCAGGGCCGGCCUCAGACACUGCGUCAGCGGGAGCCGAGCUGCCCUCGCCGCGGGUGCUGCACAAGCCCCGAAAGCCGUGCAGAGGGCUGCGAAGGAAGGCGCUGCCCUCGGGAAGCCGAGCGAGGAGGUGGGAAGGGAAGGAGAAGCCCGGCUCUGCUGCGGCUCUGUUCCACUUGCAAGUGGGUUUAAAGCAUCCAGCGACCUCUGUGUGUACCUCCGGGUGCCCCAGGCCCCCUGCAUGGGAUGGCUUUGGGCAGAAAAUGCUGGAAAUUGGCAUUUUCCCCACGUUGCAGGGCGGGUUGUUGGAGCUGCAGGGGCGCUGAGGUCUGCACGGAUCUGGUGAACCGGGGGAGCUGCUGAGAUCUGGCUGGAGCAAGGGAUCAGCCUGCAGCACCCCGAGAAGGUUAAAUCUUGCAACACGCUCGAAGCCAAUGAAACCCCCAAAUCCCAGAACGCCAGGAGGAGAAAGUCCCUGGGGGGGAGGCUGAAGGCAGCAGCUCCCCCAGCCCUGGCUCUCCCCCGUUGCUGGAGCAGUGAAGACCCCGUCCCACCAGAGCCUCACCUCCCCCCUGAGCUCCCCAGGGACACAGGGUGAGCUCCAUGGGUUCUGCCAUGCACAGCUCAGGGAAGAUGAUGCCUUUAACCAAGAUGGCAUUGCUCCCUCAAGCCGGGUGCAGGAUCUGGCCCUGAAAUGGCCCGGUGGGGAGGGAUGCUCGUGAGCCAGCCACUUCUGGUUUGGCAGAUCCUUAAAAAAAUAAAGGGAUCCGUUGUUUCCCAGCGAGGCAGGAAGGACCUGCAGAGCGGUGCCAGGAGAGGCUUUGGGGAUGCAAACCCUCCGAGGGGGGUCCAAUUAUGCACAUCAGCAUCUGGGCUGUUGGGCUUUUUUUUUUUUUUUUUUUUUUUUAACCACGGAUUAUUUUUUAAUUGAGCCAGCACCUGGAAGAGCAACCUGGGGGUCAGGAGGGUAGCACCUGGGUACUUUGUCCCAUCCCUAAGCCUUGGAGAUGGGAUGGGGAAGACUCCAGGUGUGUCACUCACCCCAGGUGCCCGCAGCCGGGCAUGAAGGAGCUGCAAAGUCCCACCAAGGGGUCCCUGCACCCACACAAACCCGGCUCCGCUCUCCCAGGAGGUGAAUCCCAUCGGCAGGAGGGGAUGCGGCAGAGCUGAAAGGCCCCGGAUCUCUGGGAGCAUCACCGCCUCCUGACCUCGUCCAUCCCAUUCCUUGGAGGCCCCUCCUCUGUGUACAAUUAGAAGACAAUUAGCACUUCCUAAUAAUUAAUUCCUCCAGCGCGGGCCAGCAGCUCCCCACUUACGCUCAUCUAAUCCAGUUUAGUACCAGUCGAGUUGCUGCUCAUCGGAGCGGAUCUGGAGGAAAUGCCUUUUUCCCUUCCCCUGGGACGUUUCCAAGCUGUCUGACCUCUCCGGCCCUAACGAGCUGCUGCCAGACGAGGGGACACGGCCGCAUGCCGGGGACAGCUCUGGGGCUGUCUCUUUGCACCGGGUGGGGGCCGGGGGCCACGGGCUCGUCCCAGCUUAGUCAGCACCGGGAGAUCCAGGCUGCUGCUGGCUCCCGCGGCCAGAGCAUCUGCAUCUGUCCCCUCUUUGGAAAAACUUAAAUAAAUGCUGGGUUUUGGCAAAAGCCA